GGCUGGUUAGCUCAGUUGGUCAAAGUGUCGUGGCUAAUAACGUGAAAGUCUGGUUCGAUGCCCGCACUGCCA